UCCGAGUUGUCCCCGGCAGUCCCCUUAGAGUCCCCGGCUUUACCCGCUGGCAACUAAGGGUAGGGGUUGCGCUCGUUGCGCCACUUAAGGCAACACCUCACGGCACGAGCUGACGACAGCCAUGUACCACCUGUGCGGGCUCCGUAGAGCGCCGGCUUUCACCGGCUUUACCCCGCAUGUCAAGGGCUGGUAAGGUUCUUCGCGCUGCGUCGAAUUAAACCACAUGCUCCACCGCUUGUGCGGGCCCCCGUCAAUUCCUUUGAGUUUUAACCUUGCGGCCGUACUCCCCAGGCGGUGUGCUUACCGCGUUAGCUGCGACACCGAAGAGCUAGGCUCCCCAACGUCUAGCACACAUCGUUUACAGCGUGGACUAC
rnacentral:misc_RNA from 1 species